AUUCAUAAUAGGAAUACUUAAAAUACUUCUGCCUAGCCCGGGGCCAAUUCCAAGCUUUUAAUUUAAUUUUGUCCACCAAAUCUGAACUUUCAACAGCCUCCCCUCUAAAUAAUAAUCCAUUUCUUCCAUUCCAAAGCACCAUAACAGUAGCUAGCCAAACUGAGGAAAGUCCUCCGGUCCUCCCCUUUUCAACACUGUGCAGCUCUCCACAAAUUGCAGAAAGUGGUUACAGGGAUCAUCAAUAAGCACCAGGCACAGGUUAAGCCACAUUAGUACCUUAGCCCACACCUUCCAAGCAAAGGCACAUGUAAAUAACAGAUGUGAAGCUUCUACAUGUUUGACUGAUGUUAUUCUUUAAUGCAAAUGGCACUUAAUUUCAGGAACUGAGCGCUUUUUCAAUUAACAAGAACCAGGUUAUAGAUUACCACAAGUUCCAGCAACGUUACUAUGAGUUCCUUGACUAUUUCCCGAUUCCUGAUGGACCCAUUUGUUCAGUAAUCUGUGGUGACUAUUCAUGCAAUGGGAUAAGAAAUGACUAUAUUGGUGUAAGUUUCUAUACUAGUAGCUUUUGCUGGUUAAUGAGGUAAGAACAAAGGUAAGAGGUAAGAUCAUAAGUAGUAGCUUUGCUUGAGUCCUAUAUAUCAUAGUGAUCUACAUUACAAGAGUAAUUUUUUAUUUAUUUGAAUACAUUGUGGCUUUAUAAAGCAAAUAUAUGAAUAGAAAACCCAUGUUUUGUAACAUAUAGAGGUUCUGGCAAAGAAGUUUGGAGCAGCUGUGGUUUCUGUUGAGCAUUGCUAUUAUGGACAGAGUUCUCCAUUUAAAUCUGACCACUUUCAUCCAAGCAGGCACUCUUUGAUUUGGCUGUUUAGGGUCAGAAAUUAUCAGGCAAGUUAAAUUCUUUUACCUUCCUUUUUAACAACAACUUAGCAGAAGUGAAGUCAGUAAAGUAGCAACUUAAGAAAACUAGUUGAUAAAGUUAUAGCUUGUCUUCUGUUGGAUUUUUAUAUGACUGAAGAACCAUACAUCUCGCAUGCUUAAAAUCAAAUUAUAUAAUGCAUAGGCUUGUAAAUGAAUGCCGAAACUGAUUUCACUGCUUCAGGUUUUAUUUAAAUGAUGACUGAAUAAGCCUGCGGUGUUUAUUAGAUUGCUGUUUAUUUUAUUUGUUUGGUUAUUGCAUUUUUCUUGCAGGACUCUUUAAAUGCAAAACUUAAUAGAUCAAAAACCGAAAAUCCCUGGUUUGUUUUUGGUGUCUCAUAUCCUGGAGCGCUCAGUGUGUGGUUCCAUCUUAAUAUGUGGAAGUCUUGCAAGUUCUACUGUUAUCCUUGCUAUUUACAACUUCACAGAAUUUGAUCAGCAGAUUGGCGAGUCAGCGGGUGCUGAAUGUAAAGCAGCAUUACAAGAAACCACUCAACUUAUUGAACUAGCAGCCGUUUAAUCGUCGGAACCGCACAAAUGUAACUUUUUUAGGUGCUGAGGGUUGCACUUUGUAGAUGUUUGUUUAUAUACUAGGUAGUUACCCGUGCGGGGUCUCUGAUUUUUUUAAAUUAAAACAUGUGUUGUUUUAUAAUCUAUAAUAUUUAAUGAAAUAUAAUUAACUUUUUA